GUACACUCCUACGGGAGGCAUCAGUGGGGAAUUUUGGACAAUGGGCGAAAGCCUGAUCCAGCAAUGCCGCGUGUGUGAAGAAGGCCUUCGGGUUGUAAAGCACUUUUGUCCGGAAAGAAAUCCUUGGCUCUAAUACAGUCGGGGGAUGACGGUACCGGAAGAAUAAGCACCGGCUAACUACGUGCCAGCAGCCGCGGUAAUACGUAGGGUGCGAGCGUUAAUCGGAAUUACUGGGCGUAAAGCGUGCGCAGGCGGUUUGCUAAGACCGAUGUGAAAUCCCCGGGCUCAACCUGGGAACUGCAUUGGUGACUGGCAGGCUAGAGUAUGGCAGAGGGGGGUAGAAUUCCACGUGUAGCAGUGAAAUGCGUAGAGAUGUGGAGGAAUACCGAUGGCGAAGGCAGCCCCCUGGGCCAAUACUGACGCUCAUGCACGAAAGCGUGGGGAGCAAACAGGAUUAGAUACCCGUGUAGUCCCAUGAU
rnacentral:rRNA from 1 species